UACGUAGGGGGCAAGCGUUGUUCGGAUUUACUGGGCGUAAAGGGCGCGUAGGCGGCGCGGUAAGUCACUUGUGAAAUCUCUGAGCUUAACUCAGAACGGCCAAGUGAUACUGCAGUGCUAGAGUGCAGAAAGGGCAAUCGGAAUUCUUGGUGUAGCGGUGAAAUGCGUAGAUAUCAAGAGGAACACCUGAGGCGAAGGCGGGUUGCUAGGCUGACACUGACGCUGAGUGCGCGAAAGCCAGGGGAGCAAACGGG
rnacentral:rRNA from 1 species